GCUGGCGGCGUGCCUAACACAUGCAAGUCGAACGGGACUGGGGGCAACUCCAGUUCAGUGGCGGACGGGUGCGUAACACGUGAGGAACAUGACUUUCGGCGGGGGAUAGCCGGCCCAACGGCCGGGUAAUACCGCGUACGACCUUUCGGGGACAUCCCCGGUUGGUGAAAGCAGCAAUGCACCGAAAGAGUGCCUCGCGGCCUAUCAGCUAGUUGGUGGGGUAACGGCUCACCAAGGCGACGACGGGUAGCUGGUCUGAGAGGAUGGCCAGCCACAUUGGGACUGAGACACGGCCCAGACUCCUACGGGAGGCAGCAGUGGGGAAUAUUGCGCAAUGGGCGAAAGCCUGACGCAGCGACGCCGCGUGUGGGAUGACGGCCUUCGGGUUGUAAACCACUGUCGGGAGGGACGAAUGCGCCGCAAGGCGAGUGACGGUACCUCCAAAGGAAGCACCGGCUAACUCCGUGCCAGCAGCCGCGGUAAUACGGAGGGUGCGAGCGUUGUCCGGAAUCACUGGGCGUAAAGGGCGCGUAGGCGGCCUGAUAAGUAGGGGGUGAAAUCCUGAGGCUUAACCUCAGGGCUGCCUUCUAAACUGUCAGGCUCGAGCACAGUAGAGGCAG
rnacentral:rRNA from 1 species